AACGCACAUUGCGCCCCUUGGUAUUCCGAGGGGCAUGCCUGUUCGAGCGUCAUUACAACCCUCAAGCACAGCUUGGUAUUGGGCUCCGCUACUCACAUGGCGGGCCUUAAAAUCAGUGGCGGUGCCAUCGAGGCCCUGAGCGUAGUAAAUAUCCUCGCUAUAGGGACCCGGUGGACACUAGCCAUCAACCCCAACUUCCUAAGUUUGACCUCGGAUCAGGUAGGGAUACCCGCUGAACUUAA
rnacentral:misc_RNA from 1 species